rnacentral:lncRNA from 1 species
CUAAUACAGGUCAUAUAUUAGGCUUUUCUUUUUCAGUGGUCAACGUGGUUCAAUUUCCAGCUAGGACAUAAUUUGCACAAUAACCUGAAGUUGAAAUUAAUACUAAGAAACAAGCUGUACUGUGUGUAAGAAAAAUCCAUUAAGCUGUCUGCAUUAGAGGAAGAAGCUGACCAAUGGAGUUGAAGCAAAUGUGUUAUACCGUAAGAAGAAAGGUUCAGACAAAUAUCACAGGAACCAGGAUGACACUCCAAUAAGGGGGCAGCAGAGGGGCAGUCUGACAAAAUGGCAUAUGACAUGGAAGUGCAUAUGAAGCAAAGAUCAGAGUUCCAAUAUGACCAUGCUCUUGAAAGGGAGGCACUGAAUACAGAGCACAUUUAUCAAGGCAAAAGUGCUUAACUAUGACCUUAAGCACAUGCUGCUGCUUGUUAGUUUAACUGAAGCUGCACAAACAUGAUAAAAGUGAAGUAUGAAGAAACUUUGUCUUUUCUGAGCCAUCUUCUCAUAUGUAGCUGAAAGCUACACAGAGGAAGAAGAAAUGAUUCUACAGACCUACUGUCACACUGUGUUUCCAUGGGUGCGUGGGCAAACUGAUCUAGUACUUGAUCCAGCAGCUGUCUGUGACAGAGAAGGUGGAACUUGACUGACGUCCCUUCCAACCCAAGCCAUUGUAUGGUUCUAUGAAUAUAUUCCAAAUAUCCGAAGGUAAUGCUUUGUUGUAUUUAAAACUUGCGUUCUUAUUACUAAACAUUUCCAAUAGAUCUGGAAUCUCACUCCAUUUUUUCUUCUAGUUUAGAAAAGCUGGAGAUUACACUUCAGAAAGUCAAACUUUCUCUUAGAAACAUAUGGUGAUGCAAGUUGGAUGCAUACUGAAAAGUAAGAACUAUUGUAAAACUACAACACUGACACUGUUUGAAAUUGGAGAUAGGCUUCUGCUCUACAAAAUGUUAAGCACACUUUUUGGUGGAGCUUUAAGAUAACGAAUAACAUCCAAGACAACAAGAAUUGCCUACAAACUUAUCUAGCUCCUGUUGGAAUCAAUUAGGCAUUUCAGUUAACUUAAAUAGGAAUGAGACCCAGUAAGUUUUAGAACACUAUCAAAAAGACAGGACACUUUUUACACCAUUAUUGAAAUACAGGAAACUAAAAUGUUUUGGGACCCAUUCUUUGCACUUACUGACUUCUGCAGUAAAUCAGUUCUGAAGUAUAAUACAGUAUUUCUAAG